AUUAACAAAAAUCAUGAUUUUUUUUUAUAUUCAUAUUUUCGCGGGAUUUGAACAGGAAGUUAGAUUGCCCAUGCGCAAUAUUUAAACCCGCAUCUUUCCUGUUUUGAAAAAGAAAGAACAGCAAAGAACGAAGUCGAGGAGAAUCUUUCCGUUUAUCAAGUAUGAAUCUUGUCAAACAAAUCAAUGGCUGAAAUGCAUCAAGUGGAGCAAAAUUAAAAUUCAGUUUUGGGAAUUCCAGUCUAUAAAAUCAUUGAAGAGGUUAAAUAUGCUGCAAAAGUAUAAAGAUGUCACUGAGAAACACAUAUCUGAUAAAGAUCCCUCCUGCUUGAACUUGAAGUCUGCCUCAGAAAGAUCUCGAAGUGGUGGAAGAAAGUUGACAUGCAAAAAGGACAAAAAGAGACAAAAGAUAGCAAAUGAAUUUAUAAAAUAAAUCUUGUAUCAAAAGAAAUAUCAUUGUAUUACUAAAUUUGAUAUUGUUCCUCAGUAAAUUUGUAUUCAUUUAA